rnacentral:rRNA from 1 species
UACGAAGGGAGCUAGCGUUGUUCGGAAUCACUGGGCGUAAAGCGCACGUAGGCGGAUGUGUCAGUCAGGGGUGAAAUCCCGGGGCUCAACCUCGGAACUGCCUUUGAUACAGCACGUCUUGAGUCCGAUAGAGGUGGUUGGAAUUCCUAGUGUAGAGGUGAAAUUCGUAGAUAUUAGGAAGAACACCGGUGGCGAAGGCGGCCCACUGGAUCGGUACUGACGCUGAGGUGCGAAAGCGUGGGGAGCAAACAGG